ACUGUCAGUGGAUGCUGAAAGCCUGAAACAAUCUCACGAGGAGCAAGAGGUUAGGUAGUAGCGCCGUAGCGGUAAGCCACAUGCUCUAAGCCACCUUCUUAUAUACCACACACUAGAACGGGUGUAAGAACAAGCUAUACGCCUCCCUUACCUUAGCUACCUGCCAUCUUUUUCCCUUCCUUUUCAAAUUUCAGUUAGUGUUCAUUUCUGUGGGGAAGAAGAGGCGGCAGCGACAAUGGAUGAGCCUUCACAGAGCGAGGACAGGAAGCUGUCGGCCAUGGAGCAUGUCAAGAAGCGCCAUGAGGAGAAGGGCUUCCUCUAUGCCUGCGCCUUCAUGUUUUGCUGCUGCUUCUGCUGCUACGAGGCCUGCGAGCACUGCCUGGAGUGCUUCUGCUGCUGCGGCAAGAAGGACGAGUAAGGUCGGUUCAACCAACAAUUCCGCCGCCGCUUCAUCAUCAUAUGGAUUUGUUGUGGAAUGUGGAUUUGUUUCGGUUGUGAAGAACUGCGAUCAAUCUAUCGUCAAAAUAAAAACAUGCUGUAAAUAAAUGUGAUUGGUUGAAGCGUUAACUCUACGUUAACCAUAGUGAGCUAGCUAGCUAUCUAGCUACCCCAGUAUCUGGAGUGAGUCCAGUGAAACGCUGUACUUGCGACUGUAAAAUGUAAAUCUGUGAUUGCCACUGGUACUAUAUGUACGUUACAGUCCUUGUGUAUAUAUAAGGGUUUCUUGUGUUAUUGCUCU